rnacentral:lncRNA from 10 species
UGAAAGUACAAUUACUAUAAAUGGAAAGUCCUUAAAAACUGUUGAUAUUAGAAAGGAAUUCUCAAAGUUGUUACUGAAAAAAUGGAAGUGUUAUAUUUGGAAGGACCUUUUUGAAUUUUAUCUAUUUUUUUCUGAGCAGGAAUAUUUUACAGUGUUCUAGAUCAUAUUGUAUCUGUUUCCACAAAAAUUACAUGCCUAUAUUUAAUUAUGUAAACCUUAAAUGGGGGAAAUUAUAAUUCUAUCAAUUUGAGAAUAUAUAAUCUUUUAAAAACACAUUUAAGAUAUAAGCCAUAUGUUAAAUUGAGUAAAUCAGGUGUUGAAAUAAUGUGCUUUACUUUCAAAUAUAGUAUCCCAGUAUUUUUUAAGUUACAAAAAAUUGGUAGCAGCCAAAGUAUAUCAGAAUAAAUUAUCAGGCUCAUAGCUCUGCUGGAGGAGGAUAUUGUUUUGACAGUUGAAAUCUGACUAAUGGUAACCUGAUAGAACGUGAAUAAUGAGAUGAUGCUUAUAGUUUGAGGACAAGGAGCUUGUCUUUGGCCUGUGAGUCAGUAUUAACAGUCCUUGCACUCAUUGGCACCAAUGCUGGCCAAGUGGCCCUGGAAAUAGGUUGCUCAGCUGACUCAUUGGUGGCACCCCUAACUCCAGUAGUGCAGUCAUUUUUCUUUGGGUCAUGAGGAUUGUCCACUGAAGAUUCUUUGCAGCAAUUUUAAUCUGCACCACCUCCUCUUCCUCUCACAAUGUCCAUCCAUUCAUUCAUUUAUUGAAAAAUAUUUAUGGUAUGUCAGGAACUAUGCUGGAUGCUGGGGAUCCAAUGGUAAGCAAUCAGACACAGUCAAACAAUCACACAACAAUUAUAUAAUCACGAACUAAGAUAGGUGCUGUGAAGGCAAGGAUAAAGCCAUGACAAUAUAACAGAGGACCCUGAAAUCACAUGGG